GGCCUUAGGGUGUUUCACGUCAGAUUGCAAAUCUGAAGAAGCAGGAUUGAACCUGCUGGGGCUU
rnacentral:tRNA from 1 species